AGCAGAUUCAAACACUUGCGAUAAUGCCAGUUUCAGCAUUCAUAAUGCUGGGGUCGGUGGUUCAAGUCCACCCGUAGCUACCA
rnacentral:tRNA from 1 species